rnacentral:lncRNA from 10 species
CGUAAGGACGCCCCCCCCCGCCGGUAGCCAUCUUCGUGCAUAGCUUGCAACACCAUGAAAAAAUUACUGAGACACUAGGAAUGCUGUGAACUGAGAAAGUUUGGGACCUUUGGCAUAACUAAAUCCUUCAUUUAACAGAUGGAGUCUCAGUCUGUCACUAAGGCUGGAGUGCAGUGGCGCGAUCUCGGCUCACUGCAACCUCCACCUCCCGGGUUCACGCGAUUCUCCAGCCUCAGCCUUCCACGUAGCUGGGACUACAGGUGCAUGCCACCACACCCAGUGUUGUGAACCACUUGUCAUGGGAUAACCAAAAUUAAACCUGGAAUCGCAGAAGAAACAAAUUUUUUGAAGAAAUUGGAUGUACUUUUUUAAAAUUUUUCAUUCAACUAAAACUUUGUUAACUGUUUCUUGGUUGUGGUCUUCUCUAAAUUGUAAUCUUUGGCAUUCACUUCCAAAGUAUCCACCACUAAACUUCAUAACAUUUAUUGUGUCUCUUCAUCAUUAAACUUUGAUGAAUUUACAGAGUGUCUUUUGAAAUUAUGUUCUUGAGAAAGGUGCACAUCAUGGAGACAAUCUGACUGGUACAGAGAAAUGAAGAGACAACAUUUUCUUUCCAAAUCUGAGUGGAGAUACUCAGAGUUUCUUCUCAAAUGUACACUGAUAAAUACUCAACUGAAGAUUCAACUGAAAUCCUCUAUGGGUCUCCAGACUCCCCCAUUCUGGAACUCUUCCCUGCAAAUUCCAGCUGCCUAAACUCCCUUCCAUCUCUCAGUUUCUCUAUAACUGAGGAACACCGUCAGGCUCCAGCUGGAUUUUCCUUCCUUGUGCACUGAUCUGGAAAGUCUUUCACAUCAGUAAGUGAGGGAAAUCAUAGAGUUCUCCUGGAUAGAAGAGGCCCUGGUUAGCAGCUUCAGAUGAUGGAUACAUAAAAAUGGGAGAGAGAAAACAUAUAAGAGUGACUAAUUGUUGAGUUUCCAGGGCUCAAACCAAUCUUGAAUUGGAAUUUCAAGACAUAAAAACCACUGCAGGAACCUGCUGGAGAAACGGCCUCUGGUAUCUCUAUCUGAAAUAUGAUUAUCUUAAGUUCGCAAAGCAUUGUGUCUGCAGUGUGAGUUUGAAAACAACAAUGUUAAGGCAACUUCGCAGCUUCUUAAUCAAGCCCUUCUCCAUCUCUCCGUGUGGUUUUUGGGGUGGUGGAGGUGGAGCCAAAAAAGAGAGGGCAGUUUCCCAGGGCUGAAGAUGCUACCAUGACUCAUAGGAUCUAUGCAAACCCUGUGAGUGAAUUCUGAGGAAGAAGAAUGAGUAAUAUUUUGAUUUUAUUACUGAUGGUAAUAAGAUAGUAUCAUCAGUGUGGUAUAUUCUGAUUACUGAAUUCUAUUCCCUAUUUUCUUCCUGUGGCCAAAUAAAAUUUGUGUGUGUAAGCUAUGAUAUUUAGUGUUGUUAUCUGAUGAGACAGGUUUAGUGGAAAAGUUCAUUUUAAAUAAACAUUAAAAUUGUUUCAGCCUCAGAUUUUUAAUCCAAAUCAUUCCUUUGACACCAGAAGAAUUUUCCUCAGAGUCAACUCCAAAGAUAAAGCUGCCUGUUUUCCUAUUUGCCCAGAAGUAAAGAGGUUGCAAAA